UCAAGCAACUAAGCGCAUACGGUGGAUGCCUUGGCAGUCAGAGGCGAUGAAAGACGUGGAAGCCUGCGAUAAGGUUCGGGGAGCUGGCAAACAAGCUGUGAUCCGGGCAUUUCUGAAUGGGGAAACCCACCGACUUUCGGGUCGGUAUCUUACACUGAAUCCAUAGGUGUAAGAGGCGAACCGGGGGAACUGAAACAUCUAAGUACCCCGAGGAAAAGAAAUCAACCGAGAUUCCCUAAGUAGCGGCGAGCGAACGGGGACUAGCCCUUAAGCUAGACAACUGGUAGGAGAAGGCUCUGGAAAGUGCCGCCAUAGUGGGUGAUAGCCCCGUAUCCGAAACCUGAGUCUGGUGAAAUCGAGUAGGACGGGACACGUGAUAUCCUGUCUGAACAUGGGGGGACCAUCCUCCAAGGCUAAAUACUCCUUAUCGACCGAUAGUGAACCAGUACCGUGAGGGAAAGGCGAA
rnacentral:rRNA from 1 species